rnacentral:misc_RNA from 1 species
CUCAACCGAUCAUGAAAAACAGCAGGCCCAGGAUGGUAACUACAGGCAGUUUCAUGAUUAUCUUUUUCUUUGAAAGUUUUACCACACCCCUGAUUCCUGCAGGUUUGAGGCUGGGUUAUGUCUACUACCAUCUUUGGAGGUGCAGAGGACCCUUGCGUACCCACAUUGCUUCUAGCAAGUGGAGCUUGCUUUGCUUGGGAACCAUGAUCUGAGCAAAAGAAACCCUGCUUGCACCUAGGACAAGAUUCCUUAGAGGACAAGUUGGUUGUGGUAGCUGCAGCGGGAGGAGGAAUUGGAUUCUUUGGACUUGCAGUAGCCUUUGCUAACACAGGUUUCUCAGUUGUGUGUUUACCUGUCUU